GGACCUCAAGGUUUAGGUCGUCCUCCUAUUGGAAAUACAUGUUGACCACGAAUGCUUCCGCAUACCCAACUGGACUUGCACCAGUCACUGCCACAAAAAGAUCAAGCUCUCGACGAGUGGGAGAAUCGGAAUUUCCAGCUUGAUUCCCUUCACGUCCAUGCAAUCAUAAAGCCCAUUUGUGCGGUAUCUUGCCAUGAAUAACAUGAUAGCUUCAUGUGGACGGUUGACACUCCACCCAGUAUGUUACAAAGCUAAAGGAUCUUGUUUGGUUGGGGAGAAAGUGUAGGGAAAUGGAAGGAACCAAAAUCUUUGAACACUGCAUGGUCUCAAAUUUUGGGGUUCUUCAAGAAUAAGAUAACUUGUCUGGUUCUGUUUUUUCUUGGUUUUGUAUGGAACCAAAUAGAGGAGUGAGAAAAUUGCUGUUCUCGGUAAUGUUCUUGUUUGAUUUUUGAUGUUCUUCCACUUCUUUGUACAGGGAAAGCUAGAUGGUUUGAAACGUAAAUGCAUGUGAUCAGAAUUAAAAAGAUUAUUAAAAAAGAAAAGAAAAAACAAGAAGAGUAAAGAUUGUUCUUCUUAUAGGUUAAUGGACGUGAAGAUCAUCAAGUUGGAAAUUUGCGAUUCACCCGGUUUUCAAUGGCCAUAUAUUCAUCUGAAACCGUGUUGCAAUGUUCGUUGACAGCUUGAUAUUUCUGUGGCAGUGACGAUUGCAAACCAAGAAAAUAUACCCUGUAAUUUUCUUUUAUUUAUUUUUCGUUUCUCAGCAACCAAAUGGACAUCGCAGGAGGGUCGACUUCAAUGCAUGAAGGAGCUAGCGGCAAAGUACGAAGGGGAGGUGGCCAUAAGCUCAAAAACAACAUAGCCAAACAUAGCCAAUCCGGUAGUACAAGUCCUGGUGCAACGCCACUGUACCAGGUCUUCCACCAGCACCUCCAUCUAUUCAUCCUCCUUAUCCUAUUAUUGGUAUGUCUAAACCUGCAGCAACACCAUACACUGGGGAAAGCCACCACCAUAUUAUCCUCCUUUUCUGUGUAGGAAAACAAUUCCUCAUUUCGUUUAGGCUUAUCCGGUUCACAUAAAGCUGGAGGGAAAAUAUAUUAUUAUAUUCUACAUCAAACUUAUUUCACUUUUUUAA